rnacentral:tRNA from 1 species
GAUAAAGUGGCUGAAUUAUAGGCGGUAAAUUGUAAAUUUACUAAUGAAAGUUUUUCCUUUAUUA